CCUACGGGAGGCAGCAGUGGGGAAUAUUGCACAAUGGGGGAAACCCUGAUGCAGCGACGCCGCGUGAGUGAAGAAGUAUUUCGGUAUGUAAAGCUCUAUCAGCAGGGAAGAAAAUGACGGUACCUGAUUAAGAAGCCCCGGCUAACUACGUGCCAGCAGCCGCGGUAAUACGUAGGGGGCAAGCGUUAUCCGGAUUUACUGGGUGUAAAGGGGGCGUAGACGGCAGCACAAGUCUGGAGUGAACUGCCGGGGCUGAACCCCGGAACUGCUUUGGAAACUGUGCAGCUAGAGUGCAGGAGAGGUAAGUGGAAUUCCUAGUGUAGCGGUGAAAUGCGUAGAUAUUAGGAGGAACACCAGUGGCGAAGGCGGCUUACUGGACUGUAACUGACGUUGAGGCUCGAAAGCGUGGGGAGCAAACAGGAUUAGAUACCCGUGUAGUC
rnacentral:rRNA from 1 species